rnacentral:pre_miRNA from 12 species
AUCUUUGGUUAUCUAGCUGUAUGAGUUGGUGUAAUAUCAUAAAGCUAGAGAACCGAAUGU